ACUUUCUAGAUGAGGACAUUGAAAAUCCUGAGAGAUCCGGUGACAGGCCACCUAAGAAGCUGGGAUCCAGGUUUCAAUGGCCAGUGUGCCUUUGCUGCACGGACCACAGCCUUAGCUGACCUCAGCUGAGUUGCUCACCUGUCACUUCGAGCCUUCAACAGACACUAAAGCCUAGAGUUGUUCCAUGUGGGGGGAUCUUCCCGAGCCGGGGAUUGAACCUACAUCUCCAGCGUCUCCUGCAUUAGCAGCCCUGCUGUGUCCUACUGAGAUGAAGAAAAGGACAGCAAAAUAUCCAGAGACAACCCGGAAGGAAGGUAUAAAGGCAGCAGGAAGGAACUUCGGGGAUGUUUAGCACAAUGCCCACUCCAAUACUUUGGCCACCUCAUGUGAAAAGUUGACUCAUUGGAAAAAGACCCUGAUGCUGGGAGGGAUUGGGGGCAGGAGGAGAAGGGGACGACAGAGGAUGAGAUGGCUGGAUGGCAUCACCGACUCGAUGGACAUGAGUUUGGGUAAACGCCGGGAGUUGGUGAUGGACAGGGAGGCUGGCGUGCUGUGGUUCAUGGGGUCACAAAGAGUUGGAGACGACUGAGCCACUGAACUGAACCGAGCUGAACUGAGCACAAUGCCUGCUAUGCCUUUCUGGGGGAAUUUUAACUCCUCUGCCAAGGC
ensembl:lncRNA